ensembl:misc_RNA 7SK 7SK RNA
AGAUGUGAGGCGAUCAGGCUGCUAGGCCUGUCACCCCAUCAAUCACCAAGGUUGACUCAUGCAUCUGGCUGGCCAGGCGGUAUCUUUUCCUCCCUCACUUCUUCCUCUGUAUUCUGUCCAAAUCUGUGCUCUCAAUGAAAGACAACUUCCCCCCAUAGAAGAAGACCAUUCUUUGGUCCCCUGCGAGAAAGGGAUUCCAACCUGCUCAUGACCUCUGAAGAGCUCACAGAAACCCCAUUCAGAACUUACAAGCACGGUUUU